rnacentral:lncRNA from 1 species
AAAAUAACAAGUCUGAUAAUAUUUUGCAAUUAUCUUUUUUUCCUUUAUAGAUCCCCCAACAAAAACCGCCUUGAUAACUGGGCUUGUUCUUGGAUUUCUCAUUUCUGCUGGAAUCCUGUGCGGAGUUUUGUAUGUAUUUUUAUUGAAGACAGAAGAAAUAUUCUUUUGGAAUACUGAAGCAACAAGCAGUCCUAAAGAAGAUGGAGAAGAAGCUAUUCCUCUCCUUGAGCAGUGGAAAGACAUGUUUACUUUUAACCUAAAACUGCAGUCAAAACACGGACGUACUUUUGACGUUUCCUGCCUAAUUGUCAUCAAUCCGGAUGUAAGGAAACUGGAUAGGUUUGGCCUUUCACUAGAAGUUAAACACGCUGGCUUUCCAGGUGACUUGUACAGUGAAACAAAGCAGUUCAGAGUCAUAGCACUGCCUGUGUUAGAUGAAAUCCUAUAUCCCACGGAUGUGCCACGAGGAGAAGAUUUACUUAAACUUUCUUGCAGAAUUCAUUCAUAUUUUCCUGAAAGAAUUGAGGUGGGAUGGUAUAAAGAUGGUUCUCUAGUUCCCUGUCAGUCUCAGCGAAGUGACUCUACAAGAGACUCUGAUGGGCUUUUUUUCUGUGACAGCACUGUGUCUUAUCAUCUCCAUGCAACUGAUAUUGGAAAGACGUUUUCCUGUAAAGCAAAACUAGAAGACUCAGAGCAGAGCAAAGAAUGUUCUUG